rnacentral:rRNA from 1 species
AACGAACGCUGGCGGCAGGCUUAACACAUGCAAGUCGAACGCAUCCUUCGGGGUGAGUGGCAGACGGGUGAGUAACGCGUGGGAACGUGCCCUUCAGUUCGGGAUAACCCAGGGAAACUUGGGCUAAUACCGGAUACGUGCGAGAGCAGAAAGAUUUAUCGCUGAAGGAUCGGCCCGCGUCUGAUUAGCUAGUUGGUGGGGUAAUGGCCCACCAAGGCGACGAUCAGUAGCUGGUCUGAGAGGAUGAUCAGCCACAUUGGGACUGAGACACGGCCCAGACUCCUACGGGAGGCAGCAGUGGGGAAUAUUGGAAAAUGGGCGCAAGCCUGAUCCAGCCAUGCCGCGUGAGUGAUGAAGGCCUUAGGGUUGUAAAGCUCUUUCGUCCGGGACGAUAAUGACGGUACCGGAAGAAGAAGCCCCGGCUAACUUCGUGCCAGCAGCCGCCGUAA